rnacentral:rRNA from 1 species
UACGAAGGGGGCUAGCGUUGUUCGGAAUCACUGGGCGUACAGGGCGCGUAGGCGGCUUUAUAAGUCGGGGGUGAAAGCCUGUGGCUCAACCACAGAAUUGCCUUCGAUACUGUAGAGCUUGAGACCGGAAGAGGUAAGUGGAACUGCGAGUGUAGAGGUGAAAUUCGUAGAUAUUCGCAAGAACACCAGUGGCGAAGGCGGCUUACUGGUCCGGUUCUGACGCUGAGGCGCGAAAGCGUGGGGAGCAAACAGG